rnacentral:rRNA from 1 species
UACGGAGGGAGCUAGCGUUGUUCGGAAUUACUGGGCGUAAAGCGCGCGUAGGCGGCUUUGUAAGUUAGAGGUGAAAGCCCGGGGCUCAACCCCGGAACAGCCUUUAAGACUGCAUCGCUAGAAUCCGGGAGAGGUGAGUGGAAUUCCGAGUGUAGAGGUGAAAUUCGUAGAUAUUCGGAGGAACACCAGUGGCGAAGGCGGCUC